CACAGCAGCAGCUCCAAGGAGCCCCAGAAUGGCCAUGACAGAAUAACCUGCCAGCCAAAACCAUCCCCUCCUCACCCCUGUGAGCUGGUGGUUACCUUAUGGCCUGAAGUGUCGGGCUUUAUGUCCUCUAUAAAAGCACUUCCUGCUCUCUAUUGUAAGAUAGUAACUUUGCAUUCUACAUAAAAAUGUCCACUCUUGCUAAAUGCCACUACAUGCUUGGCCUCAAUGCCACCCUAUGGCAACAAGACACACAGGAAUAUUUAUACAGGAGCGCAGCUCUACAAUAUGCGAUUCAUACAUUUAUCUCAUCUCAGCUUUUUCAUUUUUUGCUAUGCUUGAAAUAGCCCCAAACUCAUCAUGAUUUUAAUAUUUUUAACAUGAGUUUCUUAACCACACUGCCUCUGUCCUGUCUUUGAAACAGCCAGAGCAAGUGAUACAGCAAUAAAUCUUGGCCAAAGAGCCAGGCGAAGGAAGGGAUACCAGGAGGUAUUAUGGGAUGGCAGCUUGUGGGUCUCAGCCUGGCUCUGAAGAGAGAUUGGGAAAUAAGCCCCUGUAUUUUCCAAUCGGCUGCAACUGAAAAGAAGCUCUUGACCAAGUUUAACUACAUUCUUUGUUUCCUUUCAAGACCAAUGUUUCCAGUGGUUGCAAUUCUUGACAACUGUGAGGAUUGGUAUCUUACUAGGACUACAUUAACAGUAAAUGACCUAAAACACAGAGUGGGAAAACCUAAGAAUCACAUAAAUGGCAGUACACAUAAGCUGAAGGUAAACGUUUUAAGUAAGAAAAGAGACAGUGGAGAACAACGCUACAUUUACAGAUGCUAUAGAAAACUUAGCUUUGAUUAUACAUCUGGAACUAUUAUUCUUUCUGGGGCAAAGUAAAUGAAUUUGAGAAAAGCAAAAUGUUUGGUAAUCUCUGUUACAUGUCCCUUCCCCAGCCAACUCCACCUCAGCUUGGGCCUUCCAGAAGAGAAGAAUGCUUUGCUUUGUAACAAGGAACAAAGAAGGAUGUGAAAAAAUACUGAGCAGACAAGGUCCUGGGCCUUAGAUCAAGUAGAUCCCUCACACAAUGUGCUCUAUCAGCCUGACUCAGAAAAGCACAAGUAUUCUACAUGUCAGCACCUCACAGCAGAGACAAAAUUCAGAGAUUUGUUAAACUAAACUAUCAAGAUGUUGUUUUGUUUCCAGAAGUUG